GACGAACGGCUGGCGGCGUGCCUAACACAUGCAAGUCGAACGGAGUGAAGCCCUUCGGGACUUUACUUAGUGGCGAACGGGUGAGUAACGCGUGAGGAACCUGCCUUUCAGUGGGGGACAACAGUUGGAAACGACUGCUAAUACCGCAUGACGCUUCUUGGGGGCAUCCCCGGGAAGCCAAAGAUUUAUUGCUGAAAGAUGGCCUCGCGUCUGAUUAGCUGGUUGGUGAGGUAACGGCCCACCAAGGCGACGAUCAGUAGCCGGUCUGAGAGGAAGGUCCCCCACAUUGGAACUGAGACACGGUCCAAACUCCUACGGGAGGCAGCAGUGGGGAAUAUUGCACAAUGGGGGAAACCCUGAUGCAGCGACGCCGCGUGAGUGAAGAAGUAUUUCGGUAUGUAAAGCUCUAUCAGCAGGGAAGAAAAUGACGGUACCUGACUAAGAAGCCCCGGCUAACUACGUG
rnacentral:rRNA from 1 species